GUCUCCUGCUUGGGGUGGGGGGUUGGACUAGAUGACCCACAAGGUCCCUUCCAGCUUUGAUUAUCUGUUAUCCAGCUAAUUCUAGGCAGAGUUUUUGCACCAUCAGGAUCGGCGGUUGUGCGAACACCUUCGCACAACC